AGGACGAACGCUGGCGGCGUGCUUAACACAUGCAAGUCGAACGGUGAACCACUUCGGUGGGGAUCAGUGGCGAACGGGUGAGUAACACGUGGGCAACCUGCCCCUAGCUCUGGGAUAACCUCGGGAAACCGAGGCUAAUACCGGAUAUGACUCCGAGCGGCAUCGCUUGGAGUGGAAAGUUUUCGGCUAGGGAUGGGCCCGCGGCCUAUCAGCUUGUUGGUGGGGUAAUGGCCUACCAAGGCGACGACGGGUA
rnacentral:rRNA from 1 species